UCCGAGUUGACCCCGGCAGUCUCCUAUGAGUCCCCGCCAUCACGCGCUGGCAACAUAGAACGAGGGUUGCGCUCGUUGCGGGACUUAACCCAACAUCUCACGACACGAGCUGACGACAACCAUGCACCACCUGUGAACCGGCCGCAAGCGGGGCACCUGUUUCCAGGCCGGUCAUCCACAUGUCAAGCCCAGGUAAGGUUCUUCGCGUUGCGUCGAAUUAAACCACAUGCUCCGCUGCUUGUGCGGGCCCCCGUCAAUUCCUUUGAGUUUUAGCCUUGCGGCCGUACUCCCCAGGCGGGGCACUUAAUGCGUUAGCUUCGGCACGGCAACCGUUGAUCGGGUCGCCACACCUAGUGCCCAACGUUUACAGCGUGGACUAC
rnacentral:misc_RNA from 1 species